rnacentral:rRNA from 1 species
UGCGUGCGUACUAUGGAUGUUUGUUCCAUUUUACUAGAAAUGUUUUCUGCCAUUAGGUUGGUGGGAGGCAAUUUUCUAGUUCUUUUACUGUGAAUAACUCAGCUUGCUCCAGAAAGGCGUUUGCCAAAUUUUGAAUGCAUUAGCAUGGAAUAAUAAGAUAAGACUUUGGUGGUCUGUUUUGUUGGUUUACACACCAGAGUAAUGAUUAAUAGGGACAGUUGGGGGUAUCUAUAUUUCAUUGUCAGAGGUGAAAUUCUUGGAUCAAUGAAAGAUAAACUAAUGCGAAAGCAUUUACCAAGGAUGUUUUCUUUAAUCAAGAACGAAAGUUAGGGGAUCGAAGAUGAUUAGAUACCAUCGUAGUCUUAACCAUAAACUAUGCCGACUCGGGAUUGGUAGUUGUUCUAAUUAGAAUGACAUUAUCAGCACCGUAAGAGAAAUCAAAGUCUUUGGGUUCCGGGGGGAGUAUGGUCGCAAGGCUGAAACUUAAAGGAAUUGACGGAAGGGCACCACCAGGAGUGGAGCCUGCGGCUUAAUUUGACUCAACACGGGGAAACUUACCAGUCCAGACAUAGUAAGGGAUUUGACCAGAUUGAGAGCUCUUUCUUUGAUUUCUAUGGGGUGGUGGUGCAUGGGCCGUUCUUAGUUGGUGGAGUGAUUUGUCUGGUUAAUUCCGUUAACGAACGAGACCUCCGCGUGCUAAAUAGUUUCGAUUGCUUUUUGAGCAGUUCAGAAACUUCUUAGAGGGACUUUUGG